GAGGGAGGAGGACGGGCGAGGAUUCCGACUGAGGCCGGAGGGCACGCGGCGGAAACAGACAUGGGGAAUCAGAGAUUCGCCAAAAACGUCGCGAGAGAAAAAAGAAAAAGAAAAAAAAUGAACUGAGGUUUUUCGUAAUGAAGAUCGGAUAUGUUUUGGGGUUCUCAUGCCUCUUUUUAUCUUCUCGUCUUAUUUUUCAACGGUAUUGUUGUUGAGUUUCUAAAUAUCAAAAUAUCUUUUAUCUCAGUUAUUUCAAAUUAUUUGAAUUACCUAAAAAU
rnacentral:lncRNA from 1 species